UACGUAGGGAGCGAGCGUUAUCCGGAUUCAUUGGGCGUAAAGAGCGCGUAGGCGGCCUCUCAAGCGGGAUCUCUAAUCCGAGGGCUCAACCCCCGGCCGGAUCCCGAACUGGGAGGCUCGAGUUCGGUAGAGGCAGGCGGAAUUCCCGGUGUAGCGGUGGAAUGCGCAGAUAUCGGGAAGAACACCGAUGGCGAAGGCAGCCUGCUGGGCCGCAACUGACGCUGAGGCGCGAAAGCUAGGGGAGCGAACAGGAUUAGAUACCCUGGUAGUCCUAGCCGUAAACGAUGGAUACUAGGUGUGGGGGGCUCCGCCCUCCGUGCCGCAGCCAACGCAUUAAGUAUCCCGCCUGGGGAGUACGGCCGCAAGGCUAAA
rnacentral:rRNA from 1 species